UACGAAGGGGGCUAGCGUUGCUCGGAUUUACUGGGCGUAAAGGGCGUGCAGGCGGUUUGUUAAGUGCAGAGUGAAAGCUCCCGGCUCAACUGGGAGAGGUCUUUGCAUACUGGCAAACUCGAGGGAGGCAGAGGAAAGUGGAAUUCCCGGUGUAGUGGUGAUAUGCGUAGAUAUCGGGAGGAACACCUGUGGCGAAGGCGGCUUUCUGGGCCUUACCUGACGCUGAGACGCGAAAGCGUGGGGAGCGAACCGG
rnacentral:rRNA from 1 species